UCCUUGCAGUUCUUAGACAGUACAAAUAUGUGGAAAAGAACAAAAAAGUUUUGGAAAGUCUUUUGUGUAUCUAGGAUAAGAUGUGCUUAAAUUUGUCCCUUAAAUCUGACUUAAAUUCCUCUCAAUGACGACUCAGAGCUACAAAAAUCUGUACUAUUCUAGAUGUGAACCCCCCCGGUUGUCUCUAAAUCUUAAGUUGCAUUUUUGGUAAUGGCAGAUGCCAUUUUAAAGGGAAAUAUUGUUUGUUGUUAAUAUAAAAUAUGUAGACUAUUAAAUGUUUUUAUAAAACUUGUUAUUGAUUAGUACCUUAAAUCACUGAAUAGAUUCAGAUAGUAACAAAGAUGAGUUAAUGACACGUAGAUAGGUGAAAGCAUAUUAGGCUGGCAAGUAUGAGAAGCUAUGUGCCAGCCACGAAAACUAUACCAGCAUUAAUGCUAUUUUUAAACUAUGUGGAUUAUAUUUGUGCCUGCCAUAAAAUCUCUGCCUCUGAUAGUAUAUCGCUUCAGGGGAUGGCAUUUUUCUAAUGCAAACACAUCAUACUCGACUGACUCACUCAGCUUCAGGCUUCCAGCUUUGCAUCCGCAGACUGUGUGUCUGAAACCUGUAUUUUUUUAAUGUUAGUUCCACCCCUCGCUCGUCACCACACCAAGAUGAUGAUGGAAGGAAAUGCUCAUUUUGAGAACAUUGAGACAUGACUCAUAUCAUGCGCAGCACAGUGAGCGGGAUCAGCACACUGCCAGACUGAUAGAGGACCUUGUCAGUUGUGGACUGAAUGAGCAGGUCUGAUAGAUGCAAGCUACUGCAAAUCCCAAGUAGCUCAAACAACAAUUUUAUUCCUGAAAGAAUGUUCAUUGCAGAUUUAAAGCUACAACAAUGGCAAAUAAAAAGGACAUAAUGAAUUUUUAACUUUCAUUCCAGGAAACUGAGAUUAAUUUUUUUUCCAGUUAUAAAUGUACUAUUUAAAUAAUAUCAAGGUGUGAACAUGAGGAAUUUAAUGUAUUUACUAGUCAAGGAAAAACACUUUAGUGCUAAAAUCUAUCCUAGAGAUGCAUUAAUAUCUGAACAAAAAUGUAAAAAUGACAUAAAUGCACAGUUUCGUUAACAGAUAUUCUUUG